rnacentral:rRNA from 1 species
CAGCCGCCGCGGUAAUACCGGCGGCCCGAGUGGCGGUCACUAUUAUUGGGCUUAAAGCGGCCGUAGCCGGGUUGGGAAGUCCUCCGGGAAAUCUGGCCGCUUAACGGUCAGAAUGCCGGAGGAUACUCCCAGCCUAGGGAGCGGGGGAGGCCGAGGGGAUUCCCGGGGUAGGGGGGAAAUCCUAUAAUCCCGGGAGGACCACCUGUGGCGAAGGCGCUCGGCUGGAACGCGUCCGACGGUGAGGGACGAAGGCCAGGGGAGCAAACCAGAUUAGAUGCCCGGGUAGUCCUGGCUGUAAACGAUGCGGACUUUGUGUCGGACAAGCUAUGAGCUUGUCCGGUGCCGGAGGGAAACCGUUAAGUCCGCCGCCUGGGGAGUACGGCCGCAAGGCUGAAACUUAAAGGAAUUGGCGGG